GUCUGUGGUAUCCUACUCCAAAGAGUGUCAGUCAUAUGUAAUUCAAUUUGAUUGACACUUUUGUGAGUAGAGUAAUGUGACA
rnacentral:pre_miRNA from 1 species